rnacentral:rRNA from 1 species
UACGUAGGGGGCAAGCGUUGUCCGGAAUCAUUGGGCGUAAAGCGCGUGUAGGCGGCUCGGUAAGUCUGCUGUGAAAGUCCAGGGCUCAACCCUGGAAUGCCGGUGGAAACUGUCGAGCUAGAGUCCGGAAGAGGCGAGUGGAAUUCCUGGUGUAGCGGUGAAAUGCGCAGAUAUCAGGAGGAACACCAAUGGCGAAGGCAGCUCGCUGGGACGGUACUGGCGCUGAGACGCGAAAGCGUGGGGAGCAAACAGG